CCUCCGCGAGGAGGGGGCGACGAACAGGGAAGCGGAGACGGCGGCGGUCCCCACAGCAGCAGCAGCAGCAACAGCCGCCGCCGCCGCCUCAGCACUGAGCAGNAGGAGGCGAGAACGGGCCCAGGGUCUGGAGCUGAGUUCCCGUCACGGCGAAGGCCCUGGGCGGCCCACUAGGGGCCCGAGAGGGCUGCGCAUCACUACGCUCAGGUGCGACGAAGCGCCCAACCCGGGCAGCGGCGGCGGCGGCAGCAGCAGGCGGCGCCUCGAGGGAGCACGCGAGCGAAACGCUUUCCCCGUCGAGCAGCCAGACCCGCCUCCUGCUUCGCUCGCUGCCUGCUUGUGUCACCGCCGCCUCACUACCUCCUCCUCCCUCUCUGCUCGUUUUUGCUGGAAGAAGCAGAUGCCCCCCCAGGCCGGGCUCCUCACAAGAGGAGGAGGAGGGGGCAAAGCGGGCGGGAAAGCUGAGAUUGGGUAAACAGCUCUCCAGCCUGGCGUGGCGCUGCCAUUGGCUGAGCCGAAACACCACGGCGGCUGGGAGAAGAGGCGGCAGGCGAGGCGAGGAGGCGAGGCGAGGAGCAGCAAGGAAAUCGGGUGCGCGCUGCCGCUGCUGCUGUCACUGCCGUGGGAUGCGCCUCCGAGCGGGGGCCAUUUUGACGCACGUAUAA
rnacentral:lncRNA from 1 species